UACUCAUUCAAUGACCAACUUAUUCUGUUCAUAAAAACAAGCAUCAGAGGAACAUUCCAUGCUUGUAAAUGGAUAAUAAAGGUGAUGUUGAAAGGGGAUGCCAGUCAAAUCUAUUAUUGUAUAUAAUUGCGUUCAUCAUCUGAGCAAACAUUCAAUGGAUCAAGGUAUGACUUGGAGCUCCACAUAGUUUGUCUAAGCUCUAGUGGAGAGAGAGCUGCUAAUGGAGUUGUUUACAAAUAAGGCCGCCCUGAUCCCUUCCUUUCAAAGGAUUGUUGGGUCAAGCAUAUGGAUUAUUAUGGAGUCAUCAGGUUGCAAGAUUGUUGGGCUAAGCAUAGAUGGUGUAGCAA